rnacentral:rRNA from 1 species
AGGGGAAUAUUGCACAAUGGGGGAAACCCUGAUGCAGCGACGCCGCGUGAGCGAAGAAGGUUUUCGAAUCGUAAAGCUCUGUCCUAUGAGAAGAUAAUGACGGUAUCAUAGGAGGAAGCCCCGGCUAAAUACGUGCAAGCAGCCGCGGUAAUACGUAUGGGGCGAGCGUUGUCCGGAAUUAUUGGGCGUAAAGGGUACGUAGGCGGUCUAUUAAGUCAGGUGUGAAAGCGUGAGGCUUAACCUCAUUAAGCACUUGAAACUGAUAGACUUGAGUGAAGGAGAGGAAAGUGGAAUUCCUAGUGUAGCGGUGAAAUGCGUAGCUAUUAGGAGGAAUACCGGUGGCGAAGGCGACUUUCUGGACUUUUACUGACGCUCAGGUACGAAAGCGUGGGGAGCAAACAGG